rnacentral:ncRNA from 12 species
UGACCUCGGAUCAGGUAGGGAUACCCGCU